GGUCGCUUAGCUCGAGGGUAGAGCGCACGCUUCGCAUGCGUGAGAUCGUGGGCUCAAUUCCCACAGCGUGUU
rnacentral:tRNA from 1 species